GUAUACCCGUUCUAAGGCUAAAUACCGGCCGGAGACCGAUAGCGCACAAGUAGAGUGAUGGAAAGAUGAAAAGCACCUUGGAAAGGGGGUCAAACAGUACGUGAAAUUGCUGAGGGGGAAGCGCCUGCCCUCAGACUCGGGCCCUGCGGCUAUCACCUGGCCCCAUGCGGGCCAGGGCAUUCCGUAGGGCCUGGGCCAGCGCCGGCUGGCCUCCCAGGGCGUAAAGGCACUGGGAAUGUGGCCGCCCUUCUGGGCGGUGUUAUAGCCCACUGCGUAAUGCCCCGGGGCCGGCCGAGGCCCUCGCUUUGGCAAGGGCGCUGGCAUAAUGGGGGCCGGCGGCCCGUCUUGAAACACGGACCAAGGAGUCGUCCUCGCGCGCGAGUGCUCGGGUGUCAAGCCCAGGCGCGUAGUGAAAGCGAACGCUGGUGGGAGCCCCUUGGGGCGCACCACCGACCGAUCCGGAGGUCCUCCGAAGGAUUUGAGUAGGAGCGCGCGGGGCCGGACCCGAAAGAGGGUGAACUAUGCGUGGGUAGGGCGAAGCCAGGGGAAACCCUGGUGGAGGCUCRCAGCGGUUCUGACGUGCAAAUCCAUCGUCAUACCUGCGCAUGGGGGCGAAAGACUAAUCGAACCUUCUAGUAGCUGGUUUCCGCCGAAGUUUCCCUCUGUAAGCUUGCUCGCCGU
rnacentral:rRNA from 1 species